AUAAUACCUCUUAAUAGGAUACAUCCAUCUAUAAUGUAUCGGUCCACCAACUUUAACUUCUGAAGCUAGGUGAAUGAGCAGAUGUACCAUAAUAGUGAAAAAUCUAAGAAAAAAAAUCUUUUCCAUCUGGUAAAGUGUAAUUGCAAUAUCGGAUUCUAACUGAUCAAGUUUUCGAGGAUCAAUAACUUUGGAACAUAAUGCCUUAAAGAAUGAUGAUAAUCGAAG
rnacentral:lncRNA from 1 species